UACGGAGGGUGCAAGCGUUAUCCGGAUUUACUGGGGUUAAAGGGUGCGCAGGCGGAUAUGUAAGUCAGUGGUGAAAUCUCUGGGCUUAACCCGGAAAUUGCCAUUGAUACUAUAUAUCUUGAAUGUUGUGGAGGUAAGCGGAAUAUGUCAUGUAGCGGUGAAAUGCUUAGAUAUGACAUAGAACACCUAUUGCGAAGGCAGCUUACUACGCAGAUAUUGACGCUCAUGCACGAAAGCGUGGGGAUCAAACAGG
rnacentral:rRNA from 1 species